GGCGGUUUGGCCGAGUGGUUAAGGCGGUAGCCUCGAAUGAAACUAGCUACUCUGUUCGCAGUCGCAUGUUCGAAUCAUGCAGCCGUCG
rnacentral:tRNA from 1 species